rnacentral:rRNA from 1 species
CAGCUAGCUUAACCACCCAAUAAUUGAACAAUAUAAAUAAAACAAAAUAAGCCCAACACCAAAAAUUAAACCAUUCUUUUACCUGAGUAUGGGAGACAGAAAAGGUUCUACCCAAAGCAAUAGAGACAGUACCGCAAGGGAAAGCUGAAAGAGAAAUGAAACAACCCAUAUAAGCACAAAAAAGCAAAGAUUAAACCUUGUACCUUUUGCAUCAUGAUUUAGCCAGUACACCCAAGCAAAGAGACCUUUAGUUUGAAACCCCGAAACCAGGUGAGCUACCCCGAGACAGCCUAUUAAGGGCCAACCCGUCUCUGUGGCAAAAGAGUGGGAAGAGCUCCGGGUAGAAGUGACAGACCUACCGAACCUGGUGAUAGCUGGUUGCCUAAGAAAUGAAUAGAAGUUCAGCCUCGUACCCCCCCAAUCAAAAACACAAACAAGACACUAAGAGAAAUAUACGAGAGUUAGUUAAAGGGGGUACAGCCCCUUUAACAAAGGACACAACCUUUCCAGGAGGAUAAAGAUCAUAAUACAUAAAACAUACUGUUCUAGUGGGCCUAAAAGCAGCCACCUAAACAGAAAGCGUUAAAGCUCAGACAGAAAGAAGUUUAUUAUUCUGAUAAAAAAUCUUACUCCCCUAAAUACUAUUAGGCCAACCCAUGCCCACAUGGAAAAGACUAUGCUAAAAUGAGUAACAAGAAGGCCCGCCCUUCUCCAAGCACAAGUGUAAGCCAAACCGGACCAACCAUUGGCAACUAACGAACUCAACCCAAGAGAGCAAUGUGGGCUACAAAAAGACCAAGAAAAAACCACAACCAAACUAUCGUUAUCCCCACACUGGAGUGCUAUUUAAAGGAAAGACUAAAAGAAAAGGAAGGAACUCGGCAAACACAAGCCUCGCCUGUUUACCAAAAACAUCGCCUCCUGCAACACAACCAAGUAUAGGAGGUCCAGCCUGCCCAGUGACUACAAGUUCAACGGCCGCGGUAUUUUGACCGUGCAAAGGUAGCGCAAUCACUUGUCUUUUAAAUAGAGACCUGUAUGAAUGGCUAAACGAGGGCUUAACUGUCUCCCCUUUCAAGUCAGUGAAAUUGAUCUACCCGUGCAGAAGCG